AACGAACGCUGGCGGCAUGCCUAACACAUGCAAGUCGAACGAAGGCUUCGGCCUUAGUGGCGCACGGGUGCGUAACGCGUGGGAAUCUGCCCUUUGGUUCGGAAUAACAGCUGGAAACGGCUGCUAAUACCGGAUGAUGACGAAAGUCCAAAGAUUUAUCGCCAGAGGAUGAGCCCGCGUUGGAUUAGGUAGUUGGUGGGGUAAAGGCCUACCAAGCCGACGAUCCAUAGCCGGUCUGAGAGGAUGAUCAGCCACACUGGGACUGAGACACGGCCCAGACUCCUACGGGAGGCAGCAGUGGGGAAUAUUGGACAAUGGGCGCAAGCCUGAUCCAGCAAUGCCGCGUGAGUGGUGAAGGCCCUAGGGUUGUAAAGCUCUUUUACCCGGGAAGAUAAUGACUGUACCGGGAGAAUAAGCCCCGGCUAACUCCGUG
rnacentral:rRNA from 1 species